rnacentral:tRNA from 1 species
GCGCCCUUAGCUCAGAUGGAUAGAGCAACAGCCUUCUAAGCUGUUUAACAAACGGGGACAAAUUGAGGUGUUUUAUGUUGCAAAAUGUGUUGAAUUGGAUUUCCCCAGGUUGUA